rfam:Glycine soja cultivar W05 scaffold3874_17, whole genome shotgun sequence.
UAAUCGUGGCGAGGACAACUCCUAAUUAAAGCUUUAUAUCUAUCCUAUGCAUCAAAGAGAGACUCAGAUGCCAUUUGUCAAAAGCUAGUUAUUCUUUCCUUGAUAA